rnacentral:misc_RNA from 1 species
GGUGGCCAAAGAAGGAACUAGGAAGAUUAAGGGUUUGAGAGGGUUUUGAGAUGGGAGAAGCCAUGGAUUUGGUAGUGGCGGCAAUUAAGGAGAUGAGACCGGUGGUUGAAGUAGCGGAGCAAGCCAUUUCUUCUUCUUUUGGGGGAAGAGAUGAAGCACAGAGCUGUCUAUACGUAGGUGUGUUCACUGUUCACUGGUUACCAUUGCCCUGCAGAAAUGGUAGGUGAAGACUGCCGAAGUGAAGAUAAUAUCCAGACUUCAGAGA